CUGUUUUCAUCAAGUUUUGAUGUGUCACGCGCGCUCCUCCCACCGGAUUGACGUAACCUGACGUCAAAAAAACAAAAAACACUCGUCACCGCAGCUUUUUUGGAAUCCGGGUUGUGUACUUCACUAAUUGCAGGCCCGCCCACAGAAAUGGCUGAGCCCACAAAGAGGUCCAGUGACUGGGCCCUCCCUAAACCUGCUUUACUCAGCAGCAGAUGGCCGGGCUGCAGAGUACAGUCACCGCUCUCUCUACCAGAUCUUUUGUAAUGUGAAGAAACAGCGAGGGACCGCUAGCUAUCCUGCCAUCACUUCCAAUUUGGCUGCAGUCGGAACAAACUGCACGGGCAACUAGUUAGUAUUUGAUGAUGAUAAUAAAUAGCUACAUUUGUCAGGCCUUGUCUCAACUUUUAUCCAAAAACUGAGGUUUUUCUCCGAAGUUUAAGGAUUGGAAAAGUGCUACUGAGUGCAGAUACAGUUUAAUAUACUUGCAUACUGUGUGGGUAUAAGGUGACAUGUAUGGAAGGGUAUUUAUUACCUCUCUUAUCUCUCUCUCAGGAAAGUGUAAUAGGGUUUUGAGUGUUUGAUGCUGUCCAACGUGCUUAAAAUCAAACAAAUGUGCAAGUCUUUCUCCUAAACACACACAUAAAGUGCUGCACAGCGGCUAUAUGAGCUAUAAUAACAGACACCCACAGUGACA